AAUAUCCUGGAAAAAAAUCAUGCUAGCCUAAUCGCCCUGUCCUCGUCUCUCCUGCAACUGUUGUAUCGCCCUCUCUGUCCUUAUCCCGGGGUUUCCUACUUUUUCCGCAACUGUCGUUGAAGUCAACUCGAAGUUUGGCUCUGGCUCCUGCGCACCCUUAAGACAGAAGAAAAAAAUUUCACCAGAUACUGCAAGAAAUAAUGCACAAGAAACAGGAAUGUUGCCUUGUAAUACGUGUGUGCACGCAGUAAAACUAUAAUAGUAGUAUUAGCAGUGCGACAUAUUUUAUUAUAUUUCACAUCAAGAAGAGGAGCAUAUAACAUCAUCAAUAAAAGAUCUUUGAUUGAUAUAAGCAGCGACAGUCAUUCCAAUAAGAAAAAACGAAGGGAUGAAUUGCUUGUUUUAUGAAGCAAAUAAUUUGCUGACGAAGCAACAGUAUUUUGGUGCUCUCCAAAAAUAGGAGUUGCCGCUGUGAAAUUCUAGUAUUUUAUCUGAGUGAAGGAUAUCUGGUAGUAAUUAUUAAAAUACCACAAGAAGAAUCGUGCAAGUAUUACAGGAAAUACGAUAAAGUUUGACAGCUAUAUUGAAAUUUGCCAGUUAAAAUAUACUACGAUCUGACAGAGUGUACAACGGAAGGAAUUAAGUGAGCUAUAAUUGAAGUGUAAGAUGAUGAUGAGCGGUGUGCGUAACAAAUUUGCUGGUAUUUGUAUUAAUUUAUGAAUUGAAUGAAUAAAUGUUUGUAAUUAAUAAAUUAAUAUCAUAUGAAAUAUAUACAUUCACUUUCUUUACCUGCUCUCCUUUUAUUUUCCUCUCUUCAAUUAAAAAAAUAAGAAGUCUGUGUAUUUGUCGCAGGGAAAUGAUAAAAAUAGAGAUUUGAUCAAAUCUCUAAGGUAGAUGAUCAAUUCACGGGUGAUGUUAAAAUAACAACUAUGUGAGGUUAUUUCCCUACAGAAAGUAAGUGAUUUGAUCAAAUCCCUUAACUGUUUUAGUGUAAAGAUGAAAUAAUAUUGUUUAGAUAUUGAAAGUAUUUAUUUAGUAAAUCAUGCGUUAUUAAAAGUAGAAUAGGUAAUACAACAAUACUCAUAGAAACAUAAAUCAUUCAUUCGAGACUAAUUAGCAAAAGAAACAGGUACCUAAGCUGAUAUUUUAAAAAACAAAAAGAAUACUUUUAGGGAAUGUAAUUAAUAAAUAAUUUAUGUUUCUACGACUAUUGUUGUAUUAUCUUCUCAACACUUAAUAACGCAUGAUUUACUAAAUUAAUACUUUUAAUAUCUAAAUAAUAUUAUUCCAUCUUUUCACUAAAACAGUCAAGGGAUUUGAUCAAAUCAUAUUAUUUCAUCUUUUCACUAAAACAGUUAAGGGAUUUGAUCAAAUCACUUACUUUCUUUAGGGAAAUGACCUCACAUAGUUGUUAUUUUAACAUCUCCCGUGAAUUGAUCAUCUACCUUAGGGAUUUGAUCAAAUCUCUAUUUUUAUCAUUUCUCUGCGACAUAUAUAAAUCACAAAACUAAACAAUUCAUUUUUACAUAUUAUUUCAUAUGGAUUAUUUUAGAUUAUAGAUAUUAAAAAUAUUAUAGAUAUAUUAUCAGUAACAUUAAAAUUUCUUGGAACAAGACUUUCUGUCAUGUGUCGUGCAUACUUUUGAGAAUUUAAAGAAUUAAAUCUGACCUCUCUUUUUCUAUAUUAUUGUAAUACAAUAAAUUAUGUGUUACAAAUAGUGAAUCUCCGUUCAUUUUCUCAUUUUCUCAUUAUUUAAAUUUGUUCCAACAAAACUUUCUGCCACGCGUUCUGCAUACUUCUGAACUUCAUUCUAAUACAAUAAAUUGUGCGUUACAAAUAGUGGACAUAUUUUUCCUAUUUCUCACUUCAUCUUUAACAUUUCAAGUUCUUGCAACCAUAACCGGUUUCGAGCACCAUGAACUCUACAAAAAGUACUACAUACAUAUGAUAUAAAAAUUAUUUAAAGUCAUUCACUAUGCAAAUUAUCUUUAUAAAAAGAAGUGAGAUCCCCAUAAAAAACUUCAAAAAAGUAAAAAAAUUAUGCCAAGUACAUGAAAAAGUGGAGGACUCAAGGAGUUAUCAUAGAAAAAUAAAAGAUCCCCAUAAAAAACUACAAGAAAGUAGAAAAAGAUGUAAAAUCGAAAUGAGCUGCCAGUACAUGAAAGUCCUUUCCAAAAUCACAAAAAAAUAGAAGAUCUCCAUUAAUUAAAAACUACAAGAAAGUAGAAAAAGAUGUGAAAUUGAAAUGAGCUGCCAGUACAUGAAAGUCCUUUCCAAAAUCACAAAAAAAUAGAAGAUCCCCAUUAAUUAAAAACUACAAGAAAGUAGAAAAAAGAUGUGAAAUCGAAAUGAGCUACCAGUACAUCAAGAUGCUUUCCUACAAAGUGCAAAGGCGACACUGUAUAACACAAUGUAAAAUUCAAUGGUUUCCAAUUAUGCGCAGCUAAAAUGCUGUGUUCAACAGUACGGACGUUCAGAUCCUAAUGACAAUUCAUGUAAAGUGACUGCUCCGCACUUUGGCGGUAAAAUGAAGAAGCUAAAUAGUGUAUCAUCCACAAACUGAGGCUGUUUAAAAAUUUGCCUAGAUGUCCGCGGCCUGGAAGUCAAAUGCUUGGCGUGGCCAGGCAAGGUCGUGUUGAUGAAUAAGGAUUAUUUUAAAACGUAAAAUAAUGAAAGUGUACUUAUAUUGUCAGAGUUUUAAACUGACAAAUUAUCUGAAAACUUGUGAGAGGAAAGGUAUUGGUGUCGAUGAAUGACUGGCUUGCCGUUCCUACCGUAGUCUCUUCGUAUCGGUUUCAAGAGGCACGGUCUAACCCGUAGCAUUUUAAGUGGGGUCGAGAGUCGAGACCCCCUACUGUGCUUCCUGGUCUCGCAGAUUUUCUUGUACCGAAAAUCAGUAAACUUUUACGCGUAAUAUCUUAAAAACUAUUUGUAAAAGGGUGUUUACAUUAAGCUUGCUGAAUUCGUCUUGAAACAUACUAUCUAUUGAUCAAACAAAAAGUAUAUAAUCCCAUUUGAAAAAUCAAACGUAACUUUCAUAUAUCUGUAAACAGUAAUGAUAAAAAAAAAUUGUUACGGCCAAUAAAUCGGCCCCCUCUUGCCAUUCAAUUUCAUAUCAGAAACUUUUUUCGUAUCUUUAAUAGGUUACGAAAUAAUCGGCUGUCCAGGAUUUCGUGGGACAUACUGUAGAAUUAGUCUAAUUAGCCUAAGAAGAGUAGUCAUAAGCUGUACAUAAAACCAGGACGAUCCCGCAAGGGGAAUAAACUCACACAGUUGAGAUAACCACGAGUUAAAGUUAUUUCUAGUCCUCUAACAACCCAACGAUGUCAAAUUCAGUAUCCCUGGGCACCACCGACUGGAUCGGUACGUCAACCGCUCCACGGUAUAACGACAUCACAACAUGAUACAACAUUAAAUGAACUAAAAAAAAGUUUCAGAUUGUAUUCUGCGAAUUCAAACAAGACAUUAUAACAUCGUAACAGUUAUUGAUCUGUGUUCCUAGGAUCUGUGAUCCUAGAUAUAUACUGAAAAAUUAAAUUAAUUUGACUUUAAAUGUUUUUUUGUUUUUCCAUGGCAAAUAAUAAAAUAAGUAAAGCAUGAAAAUAUUUAACAAAAAAAAAUAAUUAACAGAUUCCACGCUCGUCGUAAGAAUCAAGAGAUUGAAAAUCAACCUCAGUAAAAAGCUUUUCUCCAUUAGCACCACCGUAUUCCAGUAUCUCAUAUCCAUUCAUUUGUCCCUGUCUCUAUCCAUGCUUCAUUGUAUGUCAUAUACGUUACAUUUUCCCGUUGGCAUCCACCUUGUUUCGAAAAUAAAAUGAUUUUCAAUCAUAAAAAACGUAACAUUUAGGAAACGAACACAGAACAGCGCAACCAUAGACCGACGCCUUAAUCGAUCGACCAUAUCGUUCACUUGAGAAAUACGAUAUAGUCACGGGCAUUCAUGCUACACUACGUACACAUAAAAUCAUUAAUAACUCGAAAAAUAUUAAUUUGGGAUCCCUAAACAUAUACAUAAAAAUUAAUUGUUUCUUGAAGAUCUGUCGAUACUCCCUGAUCCAAAAUGGAGCCAACGCUGUGACCUUUGAUCUCGAUAUUUUCGCAAACGAGUGCCUAUCUAAAAAAAAACCCGGAACAUGGCUCAAAUAGUUUUCAAUAAAAAAGGUCUGUACCAAAGGACAUAAAAAUCGGUGAGCUACACU